AUCAUACUUUCUCCGUUUAAAAAUACUAUUCAUAGGAAUGGAUGCAUCUAGAUGUAUUUUAGUUCUAGAUACAUUCAUUUUUAUAAAUUUGUGCGACAAGUAAUUCCGGACGGAGGGAGUAUGUG
rnacentral:pre_miRNA from 1 species